rnacentral:tRNA from 1 species
GUUUCCCUGCAGCGCAAUGAAAGCGUGUUGGAUUUCUAAUCCAAAGGUCAUGGGUUCAAAUCCCAUCUAGAAUA